rnacentral:rRNA from 1 species
AACGAACGCUGGCGGCAGGCCUAACACAUGCAAGUCGAACGCUCUCUUCGGAGGGAGUGGCAGACGGGUGAGUAACGCGUGGGAAUCUACCCAGCUCUACGGAAUAACGCAUGGAAACGUGUGCUAAUACCGUAUACGCCCCAUGGGGGAAAGAUUUAUCGGAGUUGGAUGAGCCCGCGUCUGAUUAGCUAGUUGGUGAGGUAAUGGCUCACCAAGGCGACGAUCAGUAGCUGGUCUGAGAGGAUGACCAGCCACACUGGGACUGAGACACGGCCCAGACUCCUACGGGAGGCAGCAGUGGGGAAUAUUGGACAAUGGGCGCAAGCCUGAUCCAGCCAUGCCGCGUGAGUGAUGACGGCCUUAGGGUUGUAAAGCUCUUC